CUGGGUUGCCCGCGAGCAGGAGGUGUUCCCGAACCUGGAUGUAGAGGUGCCGGCGCUCGGUGCCUUAGGACAGGUGCUACAGCGGGCGGCGCAAGGUCCGGCCGGGGCUGCAGCUGGCGCCUGGGGGACGCUCCCGAGGCUCGGGGGGGGGGGGGGGGGGGGGGGCGGGGGGGGGGGGGGGGGGCGUGGGGUCACCGCCGGGGCUGCACUGGCGCCUGGGGGACGCUCCCGGGGCUGGGGGGGGCGUGGGUCACCGGCCGGGGCUGCACCUGGCGCCUGGGGGACGCUCCCGGGGCUCGGGGGGCGGUGCUCGGGGUCACCGGCCGGGGCUGCACCUGGCGCCUGGGGGACGCUCCCCGGGGCUCGGGGCGGGGGGGGGGGCGUGGGGUCUCCGGCCGGGGCGCCCCCCCCCCCCCCCCCCGCACGCGGCGCCGGCCGCACCUGCCUGGGCGCGGAGGGCGAGCCCGUGCGCGCCGGCGCCGCCGGGAAGGUCGGGGCGCACGUCCGCGGGCAGCGGCGGCCGCGAGCUCGGAGCGCUCCGCGGCGGUGUCGUUACACACUUCCUGUGGGUCUCGCGGCCCGCGGCGCGCUUCCGGUGCCGGCUGGAGCCCGGGUCCGAGCCCCCGCCCCGCCCGCCCGCCGGCCCCGCCCGCGCCCCGCCCCCGCCCCCCGCCCGCCGCGCUCCGAGCUCCGAGCUCCGAGCCGGGCGCGCGGAGCCCGGGCGCACGGAGCGGCGCGCGCCGGUCGCAGAGCCAGGCUGGCGCCCCGGCCCCGCCCCCGGCCCGCCCCCGCCCCGCCCCCGCCCCGCCCGCCGCCCGCCCGGCGCCCUCCCCGCGCUCCCUGCCUGCGCGCCCCGGGCCUCCGGCCGCCUUCCCUCCCUCCCCUCGGUCCCGCCCCGUCCAGCCCGGGCCCCCCGGCCCCCCCCGCCGCCGCCCGCGUUCCUAUGGACAGACGCACAGACACCUGCAGUCUGCUGUGGAAGCAGAUGGGACUGUGAGAAGUGUGGACAGUGACCUCUCUUCCAGCCUUUAUCAUCCUGCAUUGUUUAAGAGCAGCAUAAACUCACGCUGCUCUUGGAAAAUGUGGCAUUCAUUCUUGGAUUAA
rnacentral:lncRNA from 1 species